CCCUUAGAUGUUCUGGGCCGCACGCGCGCUACACUGACGAAUGCAACGAGCUUAUAACCUUGGCCGAAAGGUCUGGGUAAUCUCCAAAUUUCGUCGUGAUGGGGAUAGAUUAUUGCAAUUAUUAAUCUUCAACGAGGAAUGCCUAGUAAGCGCAAGUCAUCAGUUUGCGUUGAUUACGUCCCUGCCCUUUGUACACACCGCCCGUCGCUCCUACCGAUUGAAUGGUCCGGUGAAGCGUUCGGACCGUGGCCUUUGGACGGUUCGCCGUCUGUUGGCUGCGGGAAGUUCGUUAAACCUUAUCAUUUAGAGGAAGGAGAAGUCGUANCA
rnacentral:rRNA from 1 species